CAACUAUGCAGGCCUACAUCUUCACACUUUGAAGAAAACAAGAAAGAAGUCAGUGAUGAAAAGGAGUCAAGAUAAAUAGCUGCUGCUCAAGAGGAGAAAAAUACAUUCCAGACAGGUUUUUUUUAAUGUACCAAUGUGGGUCAGCUCAUGGCAGGGGAAAAGUGCUUUGACGUGAUGGACUUAUGUGGACUCCAGAGAGAAGGCUGUAUAGGCAAUGAAGGGCCUUCGUACCAAGAGCUACAGUCUUAGAAAUCAAAGUCUGAGAAACCUUUGUUCAAGAUGAGCUCUCAAGCACUCAACAUAUACCGUAAAAAAAUAAUCCCAUCUAUCAUGAAAUUCCAUAAAAAGGAGAGCUGGAAUACCAUCCCUCAAGAAAAACUCAUGCUUUUUCUUCUUGUUUGGAAUUAUUAUUAUAAGAAAGGAAUAAAAUUGUAACAGUGCAGGGGGUAUUUCAAAUGUAUAUAUUUUCAAGGAAAUAGAUGUUCCAAGAGGAGACAUGGAACCUUGGAAAAAAAAAAAAAAAAGAAGAAGAAGAAGCUAACUGGCAUCUGUGCCAUGAAACCAAGUGGAAUUCAGAGGGAAACAAAGACUCAGAAGAUAAAUGACAAGCAUUGCUGGGAUCAGCCUCUGCUGAUGAUCUUUCAUCCUAACUUUCCACAAUAGUUUUUCAGGCUUCCUUCCAGAGAAUGUACUGC
rnacentral:lncRNA from 1 species